CGCCCAGCAGCCGUACCGCAGACGAGCCCGCGCCCGCGCCGCUCAGAGCUUUUAUUGUACUUGGAGGAAUGAGAAAAUAAAAGUCACUAAAUGAAGCAGUUUCCCAACUUCUACAAAAAAUCCUGCUGAUAUUUUAAUAUUGAUUUUGUUGUAUAAAUUUGGAGGCAACAGUUUGGGGACAAUGACAUUGUAACAGUAUUGAUGAACAUGGUGAUGAAAAAUGGACACUGUACAAUAUGUGGAAUGGAAGAGAUUGUGGGAUAAGGGAAAUGAACCACCACCAACCACACCAAAGGCCAGUCUUCCUCCAAAGAAGGUAAUGUUGUGUAUAUGGUGGGAUUGGAAGGGAGUCCUCUACUAUGAGCUCCUUCCAGAAAACCAAACAAUUAAUUCCAACAAGUACUGCUCCCAAUUAGAUCAACUGAAAGUAGCACUCAACAAAAAGCAUCUGAAGUUAGUCAACCGAAAACGUAUAAUCUUCCAUCAGGAUAAUGUAAGACUGCAUGUUUCUUUGAUGACCAGACAAAAACUAUUACAGCUUGGCUGGGAAGUUCUGAUUCAUCCACCAGAUUCACCAGAUGUUGCACCUUCAGAUUCCAUUUAUUUUGAUCUUUACAAAAUUCUCUUAAUGGAAAAAAUUUCAAUUCCCUGAGAGACUGUAAAAGGUGCCUGGAAGAGUUCUUUGCUCAAAAAGAUAAAAAGUUUUGGGAAGAUGGAAUUAUGAAGUUGCCUGAAAAAUGGCAGAAAGUAGUAGAACAAAAUGGUGAAUGCGUUGUUCAAUAAAGUUCUUGGUGAAAAUGAAAAAUGUGUCCUUUAGUUUUACCUAAAAACCAAAGGAACUUUUUGGCCAACCCAAUAUUUCUUAAUCCAUCAUGAUUUUUUUUCCUUUGAUCCAUGUGUUAUUUAGAAAAAUGUUGAUUUCUAAUAUUUGGGAUUUUUCAUAUAUAUAUGUGUUACUGAUUUCUUGUUUAAUUCCAUUGUGUUGAGAAAACAUACUAUGUAUGAUUCAGUCUUUUAAAAUUGUUGAGAUUUGUUUUAUGACCCAGAAUAUUGUCCAUCUUGGUGAUUGUUCCACAUGAACUUGAAAAAAAUGUGGAAUGUUCUCCAAAUGUUAAUUGGGUUAAGUCAAUUGAUUGUAUCAUUCAAGUCUUCUACAUACUUAUUGACAUUUUUCUGUACUUGUUCUAUCAAUUACUGAGAAAGGAAUUUUGAAAUCUCUCACUGUGAAUGUGUAUUUUUCUAGUUCUUUUAAAAUUCUAUCAGUUUUUAUU